rnacentral:rRNA from 1 species
GGGUGGCGCGGCUUGCACAUGCAAGUCGUAACGGGGUAGCCAGUAACUUGCUUCUCGCUGACGAGCGGCGGACGGGUGAGUAAUACUUAGGAAUCUACCUAGUAGUGGGGGAGAGCUCGGGGAAACUCGAAUUAAUACCGCAUACGACCUACGGGAGAAAGGGGGCGGCUUGUUGCUCUCGCUAUUAAAUGAGCCUAAGUCGGAUUAACUAGAUGGUGGGGUAAAGGCCUACCAUGGCGACCAUCUGUAGCUGGUCUGAGAGGAUGUAUUCAACCACACCGGGACUGAGAACACAGCUCCCGGACUUCUCUACGGGAGGCAGCAUGUGGGGAAUAUUGGACACACUCGGGGGCAACCCUGAUCCAGCCAUGGCCGCGUGUGUGAAGAAGGCCUUUUGGUUGUAAAGCACUUUUAAUCAGUGAAGAAAGACUUCCGUGGUUAAUACCCCAUGGAUCGAUGACUUUAGCUGCAGAAUCAAGCACCGGCUUAACUCUGUGCCAGCAGCCGCGGUAAUACAGAGGGUGCUGAGCGUUAAUCGGAAUUACUGGGCGUAAAGCGAGCCGUACGUGGCUUGAUAAGUCAGAUGUGAAAGCCCCGGGCUUAACCUGGGAACGGCAUCUGAUACUGUUAGGCUAGAGUAAGUGAGAGGGAAGGUAGAAUUCCCUUGUGUAGCGGUGAAAUGCAUGCAGAUCUGGAGGAAUGCCGAUGGCGAAGGCAGCCCUUCUGGCAUCAUACUGACACUGACGUUCGAAAGCGUGGGUAGCAAACAAGAUUAAAUACCCCUGGUAGUCCACGCCGUACACAAUGUAUACUAAUCGUUUGGUCCGUUUGAGGACGUAGUGACCCACCUAACGCAAUAAGUAGACCGCCUGGGGAGUACGGCCGCAAGGUUAAAACUCAAAUGAAUUGAUCGGGGGCCCGCACAAGCGGUGGAGCAUGUGGUUUUAAUUCGAUGCAACGCGAAGAACCUCACCUUGGUCUUGACAUAUCUACGAAUCCUGCAGAGAUGCAGGGAGUUGGCCUUCGGGAAUUAGAAUACAGGUGCCUGCAUGCGCUGUCGUCAGCUCGUGUCGUGAGAUGUUGGGUUAAGUCCCGCAACAGAGCGCAACCACUUGUCCUUAGUAUACCAGCGAGUUUGGCCGGGAACUCGUAGAGGAUACAUGCCAUGAUGACAAACUGGAGGAAGGCGGGAGACGACGUCAAGUGCAUCAUGGCCCUUACUGACCAGGGCUACACACGUGGUACAAUGGUAGGUACAGAGGGCAGCUACACCGCGAUGUGAUGCGAAUCUCAAAAAGCCUAUUGUAGUCCAGAUUGGAGUUUGCAACUUGACUCCAUGAAGUUGGAAUCGCUAGUAAUCGCGGAUCAGAAUGCCGCGGUGAAUACGUUCCCGGGCCUUGUACACACCGCCCGUCACACCAUGGGAGUUGAGGCACCAGAAGGGCGACAGUAACCUCCUGGCUCGGUGCGACGUGAACCGUACUCCUAAUC